CCUACGGGUGGCUGCAGUGGGGAAUAUUGGGCAAUGGACGCAAGUCUGACCCAGCAACGCCGCGUGAAGGAAGAAGGCUUUCGGGUUGUAAACUUCUUUUAAGGGGGAAGAGCAGAAGACGGUACCCAUUGAAUAAGCCACGGCUAACUACGUGCCAGCAGCCGCGGUAAUACGUAGGUGGCAAGCGUUGUCCGGAUUUAUUGGGUUUAAAGGGUGCGUAGGCUGUGAGGUAAGUCAGCGGUAAAAUGCCCACGCUCAACGGGGUGAAGUGCCAUUGAUACUGGCUUGCUGGAAUGCGGAUGCCGUGGGAGGAAUGUGUGGUGUAGCGGUGAAAUGCAUAGAUAUCACACAGAACACCGAUUGCGAAGGCAUCUCACGAAUCCGCGAUUGACGCUGAUGCACGAAAGCGUGGGUAUCAAACAGGAUUAGAUACCCCGGUAGUC
rnacentral:rRNA from 1 species